ACAACUGGGAUUACCUUAGUACGGCGAGUGAAGCGGUAAAAGCUCAAAUUUGAAAUCUGGUACUUUCAGUGCCCGAGUUGUAAUUUGUAGAAUUUGUCUUUGAUUAGGUCCUUGUCUAUGUUCCUUGGAACAGGACGUCAUAGAGGGUGAGAAUCCCGUUUGGCGAGGAUACCUUUUCUCUGUAAGACUUUUUCGAAGAGUCGAGUUGUUUGGGAAUGCAGCUCAAAGUGGGUGGUAAAUUCCAUCUAAAGCUAAAUAUUGGCGAGAGACCGAUAGCGAACAAGUACAGUGAUGGAAAGAUGAAAAGAACUUUGAAAAGAGAGUGAAAAAGUACGUGAAAUUGUUGAAAGGGAAGGGCAUUUGAUCAGACAUGGUGUUUUUUGCAUGCACUCGCCUCUCGUGGGCUUGGGCCUCUCAAAAAUUUCACUGGGCCAACAUCAAUUCUGGCAGCAGGAUAAAUCAUUAAGAAUGUAGCUACUUCGGUAGUGUUAUAGCUUUUUGGAAUACUGUUAGCCGGGAUUGAGGACUGCGCUUCGGCAAGGAUGUUGGCAUAAUGGUUAAAUGCCGCCCGUC
rnacentral:rRNA from 1 species